rnacentral:sRNA from 1 species
AGCAGCCGCGGUAAUUCCAGCUCCAAUAGCGUAUAUUAAAGUUGUUGCAGUUAAAAAGCUCGUAGUUGAAUUUCGGGAUUAAUAUGUUGGUCGUGCCUUGGUACGUACUGGCAUUAUUGAUUCCUACCUUCUGAAGAACCUCGAUGUCAUUAAUUUGGUGUCUUGGGGAAUCAGGACCGUUACUUUGAAAAAAUUAGAGUGUUUAAAGCAGGCUCGCGCUUGAAUACAUUAGCAUGGAAUAAUGAAAUAGGACGUUUGAUUCUAUUUUGUUGGUUUCUAGGAUCGACGUAAUGAUUAAUAGGGAUAGUUGGGGGCAUUAGUAUUCAAUUGUCAGAGGUGAAAUUCUUGGAUUUAUUGAAGACUGACUACUGCGAAAGCAUUUGCCAAGGAUGUUUUCAUUAAUCAAGAACGAAAGUUAGGGGAUCGAAGACGAUCAGAUACCGUCGUAGUCUUAACCAUAAACUAUGCCGACUAGGGAUCGGAUGAUGUUAAUUUUUAAUGACUCAUUCGGCGCCUUAAC